UAAUACAUAAGUAACCUGCCCUAGACAGGGGGAUAACUAUUGGAAACGAUAGCUAAGACCGCAUAGGUACGGACACUGCAUGGUGACCGUAUUAAAAGUGCCUCAAAGCACUGGUAGAGGAUGGACUUAUGGCGCAUUAGCUGGUUGGCGGGGUAACGGCCCACCAAGGCGACGAUGCGUAGCCGACCUGAGAGGGUGACCGGCCACAUUGGGACUGAGACACGGCCCAG
rnacentral:rRNA from 1 species